rnacentral:rRNA from 1 species
GACGAACGCUGGCGGCGUGCUUAACACAUGCGAGUCGAACGCUGAAGCUUGGUGCUUGCCCUGGGUGGAUGAGUGGCGAACGGGUGGGUAAUACGUGAGUAACCUGCCCUUGACUCUGGGAUAAGCCUGGGAAACUGGGUCUAAUACUGGAUACGACAUGUCACCGCAUGGUGGUGUGUGGAAAGGGUUUUACUGGUUUUGGAUGGGCUCACGGCCUAUCAGCUUGUUGGUGGGGUAAUGGCUCACCAAGGCGACGACGGGUAGCCGGCCUGAGAGGGUGACCGGCCACACUGGGACUGAGACACGGCCCAGACUCCUACGGGAGGCAGCAGUGGGGAAUAUUGCACAAUGGGCGGAAGCCUGAUGCAGCGACGCCGCGUGAGGGAUGACGGCCUUCGGGUUGUAAACCUCUUUCAGCACGGAAGAAGCGAAAGUGACGGUACGUGCAGAAGAAGCGCCGGCUAACUACGUG